CACGUAGGGCGCAAGCGUUGUCCGGAAUUAUUGGGCGUAAAGAGCUCGUAGGCGGUCUGUUGCGUCCGCUGUGAAAACUCGGGGCUUAACCCCGAGCCUGCAGUGGAUACGGGCAGACUAGAGGUAGGUAGGGGAGAAUGGAAUUCCCGGUGUAGCGGUGAAAUGCGCAGAUAUCGGGAGGAACACCGGUGGCGAAGGCGGUUCUCUGGGCCUUACCUGACGCUGAGGAGCGAAAGCGCGGGG
rnacentral:rRNA from 1 species